GACGAAGGGGGCUAGCGUUGUUCGGAAUUACUGGGCGUAAAGCGCGUGUAGGCGGUUGUUCAAGUCAGGUGUGAAAGCCUUGAGCUCAACUCAAGAAAUGCACUUGAUACUGAAUGACUAGAGGACCGGAGAGGAUAGUGGAAUUCCCAGUGUAGUGGUGAAAUACGUAGAGAUUGGGAAGAACACCAGUGGCGAAGGCGGCUAUCUGGACGGUUAC
rnacentral:rRNA from 1 species